CAUGUCCUUUUGGUAAUAAUUUAAGGUUUAAUCUGCACAAUGAAAGUUAAAUUGCCGCAGUAUUUUGACUGUGCAAAGGUAGCAUAAUAAUUAGUUUCUUAAUUAGGAACUGGAAUGAAUGAUUGGACGAGAAAAUUUCUGUCUCUUGUUAAAGAAUUUUUGAAUUUUAUUUUUAAGUUAAAAAGCUUAAAUUUUUAUGAAAGACGAGAAGACCCUAUAGAGUUUUAUAUUUAUUGUUAAUUGUAUGUUAGUAAUUUUUUUUGCAGUAAGUAUUUGUUUGGGGUGAUUGGGGGAUUUAUUAAAUUCUUUUUCUAUUUGAUUGAUGAUUAUUAAUUUCUUUAUCUAAAUUUUUUAAAUUUAAAAUUAAUUACCUUAGGGAUAACAGCGUAAUUUUUCUUUAAAGCUCUUAUUGAAAGAAAAUUUUGCGACCUCGAUGUUGGAUUAAAAUAGAUUUUUGGUGCAGUAACUUAAAAAUUAGGUCUGUUCGACCUUUAAUAUUUUACAUGAUCUGAGUUUAGACCGGCGUAAGCCAGGUUGGAUUCUAUCUUUAGAUUAAUUAUAUAUUUUAGUACGAAAGGACCAAGUAUAUAUUAUAUAUUAAUUA
rnacentral:rRNA from 1 species